CCCUUAGAUGUUCUGGGCCACACACGCGCUACACUGAAGGAGGCAGCGUGUACUCCUGGAUCGAAAGAUUUGGGUAACCCGCGAAUCUCCUUCGUGCUAGGGAUUGAGGUUUGCAAUUAUCCUUCAUGAACGAGGAAUUCCCAGUAAGUGCAAGUCAUAAGCUUGCGCUGACUACGUCCCUGCCCUUUGUACACACCGCCCGUCGCUACUACCGAUUGAAUGAUUUAGUGAGGACUUCGGACUGGGACCAAUGCGGCUUUCGGGCUGCGUCGGUAUUCUGGAAAGAUGUCCAAACUGUAUCAUUUAGAGGAAGUAAAANUCGUANCA
rnacentral:rRNA from 1 species